UUUGUAAGAAUUUUGGGUGAGCAAGAAAAUACGUGAUAGAGAAAAUAAGUACCUGAAAUUCUUACAAAGAAGUAUUUUGGUUAUUCUCAUGUGUUCCAAAGAAAAAUGUUGCUAGUACAGAAGUAGUUCAGAUCUGCUCUCAAAAUGGACUCAGUUAGAAUUGGAUUCUUUCAUACAAAUAUUUCUAUUGCCAUAUGAUGAUUAAAAUCACUCAGUAAGCCAAUCCAGAUUUUCCUGUAAUGGAAUACCUUUUUUAGCCCAGGAAUUCUUACACCACAUGUAUGGAUACAGAAUGUAGUAUUUAACACAACACGUCACUAGUUGCUGGGUAAAUACAUAACAUAAGGCUCAAAUGAUGUAAAGAGCAUGAGACAUAAUUAAUGCUUUUGCAAGGCACUGAGUACUAAUCAAGUUGUGUUUGUUGUCUAGCGUUGAUCCUUCUGUUGUAAACAUAUCAGAUGAAAUGGCCAAAACUGCACAGUGGAAGGCUCUUUCCAUGAACACAGAGAAUGCCAAAGUAACAAGAUCUAACUUGAGCUCUGAAAAAGAAGAGUGUGUGAAAAUAGACAUGGAAAAUACUCCUGAAACAAAGUAUGUAGAUGCUGAAACCUCAUUAUAGAAGUGAACAAGGGUAUAUAUUAUUUUAUAGGAUAUACUGUAAAGGGUGACUUCACAUCUUCUUUCAAGUACUGAAAUUCGAGCGAUAUGGAUACUGUAUGCACAGCAACAAGACUUUCAGACAAGAUAGAAGUGAUGUCCGCUCUGGAAAUAUUUAUUUUUAGUGGAAUGUUUUUCAUUUUUUUAAAUAGGAAAAUUAAAAAUUCUUUUUAGUUAUCAGUACAUGCAUUGCAUGUCAGAUCAUCUUUAAUUGUGAAGUAUUGGUUGCAUUGUUUAUAACUUUCUAGUAUGUAGUAGUUUUUAUAAUUUAUUGCAGUACACGUCACGUUUUCAGGCAAUUACUGUUUGGGUGUUUGCAAAAUGUUAUAAAUGUCACUCUCCCUAGGAAAAAAAAUCCCAAUGUGCCCUUUCAUAAAUGACUUUAUUUUCAGGCCAUUCUUACUUCAUGUUGCUGUUUUAUGGGGAUCUAAAUGGAUAUCUGUGAGAAUGAUUUAUUAGUCCUAAAUUAAUAUAACACUAAACACAGUGUUGUUGCCUUUCCCUUGUUCCUGUAAGUCAUGGAUACCACAGUACCUCUUCAUACUACAUAUUUUAUGUACAGAUUCUUUUGCCUCCAUUGAAGUUAAUGAGGCAUUGAAAUUAUACAGGGCCUGUGGAUUUGAAUACACACGUAGGUUCCAAAUUAAGGUUCCUGAUUUAAAAUGUAAGCUUAACAGACUUUGAUUAGCCAGUGAGUUUGUUUCCUUUUCCUGCGUGUGCAUAAUAUUAAUUGAUCUCUGAAUUCAGAGUGGUGAGAGCAGGGGAUCCCAAUGCAAACAUUUUGCUGAUCCAGGAGAGGGUUUGCACAGGAAUCUUGCUUUUAAACAAAGGGCUUUCAAACAGCCGCUCAAAGACCCAGAGCAGGUGGAGGGAGUGUGCCUCACAGAGGAUGGGAGACAGAGCAAAAGGCUAGCAAUCAUGGAGCCAAUGCUGACUUAAUCAAUAGAACUCAGUAUCUAAAUGCUAUUACUUGGAAGGCUUGGAUCCAGAGAUUUCUUGUGUGAGUGGAAAAAAACACUUCCACUUGUGAAAGGCAACCCUGCUGAAUUUCUUCCAUUUCCUCAUCCAGCUGCUGCCCCCAUACCCCAUUUUGCAUUCUAGAGGGUCCUACUGGCCCUUAGGAGAUGCUUUGGGGAACCUACACAGGGCCUACAGCAGGGGGAAGGAGCCAGGAGAGCCCUGUUGCAUGAACAGAGUUCUGCUUGAGUGUUUCAAGAUCCACACAGUAUGUUUGAAACUACAGCUUAUUUAUAAGAUAUUAGGCCAUGCAUAGAAGUAAGUUGCACUGACGUCAAUGGUGCUUAAUUUUUAAGGCAGUGAAUCUGGGUCCAAAGCUGUGCAUGCAGAGCUUCUGCAAUGGAUAAGGCCUUCUCUUAUGUGGAGGAUGUGCAUAUGAAAUUAAAUCCUAUAUCAAGGAAAGAUCCUGUGUAUGCUGGAUCUUCAUGGUACCUAUCUGAAAAUCCCACACAUAUAAAGAAGGCCCCUAAACUGGAGCCACUGUGUUUAGCAUCAAGGUGUGAGGAUUGCGUAAUACAUUAAUCUCUAUGCAUUUGAAGGAAUGGAGCAACUUUUAUGUGAAGUUAAAAUUAAAAGGCAAAUUAAACAUGUAAGGUCUUCAAUUUUAAAAGCACAUUGCUUUAUUAUCUCCUCUUACUGAAGUCAGUUGUAUAAAUUGCUAGCCACACUGGAACAGGGAUGGGGGGGGGACUCUGACCCCACCGGUCAUGGUUGGACUCCAAUUCUCAUCAUCCACAGCAAAUAUGGCCAGUAGUCAGGGAUGAUGGAAGUUGUAGUUCAAAUCAUCUGGAGGUCCACAGGCUCCCCAUCCCUGCACCAGAAUAUUAAUGCUCAUUUCUUUCUGUGGCAGAAUUAAGCAUUUGUGUAUAUCUGUCCUGAUGAAAUGCACAGGACUUAAGGCUUGAAAUGCAGCUGGAUAGUAUCUGUUUGCCAGCAUGGACUUCCGUCAUCUUGCCCAAUGGUGAAACUCACAGUAACCAAUUCUGCUUCUAAAGGUGAAAUGGCAGCAACUGGUGAAGCCAUUCAUUGGUAGGAAUCACCACCGUGGAGCAAUCAAAUAGGUCUUUAAAGACCCCUAUUGUAAGUGGUAGUUGAUGUAAACGUAAACCGUGUAGUUACUGGCUAGUUAGGAGCUUCAAGUCCAUAUGGACCUCUCAUGCUAGCAGAGAUUCUCAGUGGAGCCCAUCAUCACUGCUACCUCCCAGCAGUUCCCCAUUAAGAAUGUGUUUUCUUUUCCCUCCUUGAUUGCCUGGCAGCAUGCAAUUCCUGUUAGCAAACUGCCUCGCCACUUGUUACUGAAGAAUGCUGUUCGUAUGAAAACCUAAGUUCCGCAAACCUUGCAAAGAAGUCUAGUUGUUGACAUUGCUCACAAUUGUAACAGAAGCCGCAUAACUUAAGGUUGCGCUUAUUUUCCGUCAAUAAUGAAUAUUUGCGCCUCUCUUUGUGCUGUCAAAAGAAUUGGUGCGCGUCUCCCACAGAACUUUUCACUGGGAAUAUGGCAAGAAGUGCACGUUGGAUCUUGAAAAGUAACUUGGUGCACCCGGUGGAACAUUUUACUUUUCUGAAGAGGAAGUUCAUGUACCGUGCUGUCAACUGCUUUUGAAAUAGUGGGGUGUUUCAAAAGCCGUUUUCAGGGCAGAACCAGAGGAGUGAACAAGUCCUACAGCAUAAAAGCAGAUUGUGGGGCUCACUAAAAGCAACUGUGCUCAGUGACCUGAAACAAUUGAGAGCAAGUAAUGGUAACAGAAACCUAUGGAAUUGACACUUAAGAUUUACUUGAACAGUGACAUUUCCUUUUAUUGUUGUUUUUUAAAAAUGCUGCUAAAUGUAUUCACAGUUUGAAGAAAAAGUUAACCUUAUUAAAUCAACAUGUAGGGAUAUGGGUCAUCAUUAAACAGAAGAGCUGAUGCCUCAGCACCAUCAAAUUAGCUUUUCAGUACUGCUUAUCUUUGAUAUUGGUAAGAGUAUAACUAUAAUGUUCAUUCCUCGAUGUUCACGUAGCUUGUGCCUUAGCCUUCUUCAGGAAAUAUGCACUUUUUCUUUAUUUGAAAAUCAUGACCACCUGUCACUUACCCCAUCUCUUUCACAAAAGGUGUGUUCAACGUCUUCAACAAUCACGUUUGAAAACAAUGUGUUCUAUUUGGUACAGUAAAAAACCACAACCAAUCAUGCCUGUAGCUUUCAGAGUUAUUCACACUCGUCUUCCAUUACUGAAAAAUUCUGUAUUCAGAGCUGUGGGUAGUAAUUUGCAAAGAUCCAAACAGAUUGUCUUGAAUUUUAACCCUUUGUUUUCUAAGCCUAUAAUUCCAUAAUGCUGAACAGUUCAUAUCAACUUUUCAGUGCCAAAGGGUUAAUAAUUUUGGUAACUUAAGCAAAGAUCUGAAAACUACUUAGAAUCACAAUAUUUAUUUUAUUUUAAUUAUGUAAAAAUAUUAUACAGUGCCAGGCAUAACCAUGACUUGCAAUGUAGUUUGCAUUGAUUGUUUCGAUGUUGUUUGUUAAUGUUACCUUACACAUUUGAUAGCAUAUUAAGUCCUGAUGACAUGCUGAGAAUUCCAGUGGUAAAAUCUAGGUGAUUUACUGCUCAUUAUACUGUAUAAACAUUAUUUCCUUCUUCAUAAUUAAAAAAAGUAUAGUAUUAAAGUAAGACAGUGAAGGACAGAGCUUUUACUGUACGUAGAUAAUAAAUGUUGCCUUAAAAGGUGUAAAUGAGUAAACUUUACUGUGCACUGAUUCACCUUAGGGUGGAGCCUAAUUUAAAGCCAGUAUAUUUCCAUUAAACCAGUAGACUAAAUAGCUGAGCACUUUUUUUAGAUACCUUGGUACUGGCAUCUUCUGUAAAGAAUCUUAGUGUCACAAUAGAAUCUAAACAACCCGGUGUUUUUGGUUUGUGUAUGAACUUGUAAAACUCUGUUCUAGAUAUGCACAAACAACUCAUUAUCCUUAGUUUGCAAUGUUCCAUGCUGCAAACUGUGUUUAAGGCAGGUUAUUCCAGAUUAUCAAGAUAAUCAACAAAAAUGUGCAAGAUAGUGUACAAAGCAUGUCAGUCAUUUAGCAUCCAACAGAACGUUUCUCCUCCCCCCCCCCAACACAUUUAUCUCAAUGUACAGUAGUCUUGUAAAAUGUGCCCAUUGUAAAAGUAAGUUCCAAAUGUAAAAAUGUCACGGAUAGAUGAAAUGCAAAACCAAAAUGCACUGGUAUGCAUUGUUUAAAGGGGUUAUGUAUUAUACAUAUGUUUUAUACAUUGUGUUUGAAGUUACCAGUUCAGAGUUUGUAGAUCAUUAGCACAACAUUUUGAAUGUAUUUUGCUUUUGCUUUUCUUAAGUUUGGUCAGUAAUUUAAUGUUUUUUAGAAUGAUUGAUUAUAGGUGCCAUCCAUUACCUAAUACAGUACAAAUGUUGUGAAGAACCAUUUAUUUUAGUGAAUGUACAGGCACAUAGUUGUGUGUCAAUAUAUACUCGUAUUCUGAAUACAAAAUAUUGUCUUGUGAUUUUACUACUUGCAGUUUUUUUUAUUUUAAAACCUUUUAGUAAAUUUGUCAAUUAUAGGAAAAUGGUUGCAAUUGGUGUGAAAAUAAAGUUUUUCAUAUUUAGUACAUAUUGUCACUAUUUGGCAGUCUUGGAGUAACUUAUUUAAUGCCAGGUUUUUAUAACGCAAUUUAUUAGUCAGGAGACGAAUUCCUUUGUAACAUUUCCCAUUUGUUAUUGAUGCUUUGUUUUGUAAGUGUGUCUUCCAGUGUUCAGAGCUGAACAAAAACAUUUACUUUGAUUUGCAGUGUGAUUCCACACUUUAUUCCAGUUUUUAUGACAGUUUUCUAAUUGCAUAUAACAUUUCCUUUUAUAAUAAAAUCCAAAGCAAGUUAACACUGUUCCAAAUGUAGAAACAAUAUUUUAUUAAUUUAUAUAAUGCCUACAAAAAAUUCUCCAACAUGUACUGUGAAAAAUCCAGCCUUUAUAAUUUGUUUAAUGAAUGUUGCGAAAACUAUUUUUUGUAAUGUUUCAAAAAGUUGACAAAAAGCAAUAAAAUGCCACUGAAUUUAA